rnacentral:rRNA from 1 species
CCUACGGGAGGCAGCAGUGAGGAAUAUUGGUCAAUGGGCGCGAGCCUGAACCAGCCAAGUCGCGUGAGGGAAGACGGUCCUAUGGAUUGUAAACCUCUUUUGUCGGGGAGCAAAAGACGCCACGCGUGGCGUUCCGAGAGUACCCGAAGAAAAAGCAUCGGCUAACUCCGUGCCAGCAGCCGCGGUAAUACGGAGGAUGCGAGCGUUAUCCGGAUUUAUUGGGUUUAAAGGGUGCGCAGGCGGAAGAUUAAGUCAGCGGUAAAAGUGCGGGGCUCAACCUCGUCGAGCCGUUGAAACUGGUUUUCUUGAGUGAGUGAGAAGUAUGCGGAAUGCGUGGUGUAGCGGUGAAAUGCAUAGAGAUCACGCAGAACUCCGAUUGCGAAGGCAGCAUACCGGCGCUCAACUGACGCUCAUGCACGAAAGUGUGGGUAUCGAACAGGAUUAGAUACCCUUGUAGUC